UAAAGGAUUUUGUCCAUCAAACAGCAGCAAUGGAAGCAAAGAUUGACAGACACGUUUGGGGGAGCAGGAAUAAGCAGUCUGCAUCUUCUCAUCCUGAGCAGCUUUCUGUGACAGAAGGAUGGACAGAUGGAUGUCAGACUUUGGGAUUCCAAAAGCUGUUGCAAACUCUGUCAGGUUCACUGAGAGAUUCCUUCUGUAAAUGAUUGGAAUUUUUAUGCCUCCUACAGCUGCUUCCUUUUGUAAUUAAUAUUAUCAAGGGGAGAAAAACCACAAGGGUGAUAUUUCUCUGAAAACACCAGUGUGAGUUCUGACCAUAAGUGUCUGAGUAAGUCAUGUCUGUUUUGGAGCUGUGUGGUGAACUGACAACGUUAAGCAACCUUACGUAUCUAGAAUCUUGCAACUUUAGAAUUGGAAUAAGAAAAACAUGGAAAAUUUUCACCAGGCUGCCUGGUUGGUUGAAGUUGUUUUGCUUUGUGUAACUGGAACACCAGAGAGCAGGUUUUCCUGUUUCCGUGGGCUUGUACAUCUUCAUCAGUAACAAUGCUCCCAUAUUAAUGGGGUCCUCUUUUGUGACAGUGAAUAACCAGGCCAGUGAGGAACUGGAUCCACAUGUAGAGAAAGCAGGUGUCCCCUCUGACUUGGCCUUGCAGGAAGGACCAGGGGGAAAAGCAUUAUAUAAAAGAUUUCUUCCCAGGAGUUUCACCCACUCCACUCCGGCGGAUUAAUCUCUUGUGUUAUUUCUACAUCAAGUGUUGCCUAAAAAGGGACAUUUAUGAAAGUUCAUGAUUUUCAAUUGUGUGAAAUAUCACUAAGGAGAGAGAAGUUUUGUUUACUUCCAUUUGAAAGGGGAGGGAGCUAAAUCAAAUCAAUUAUUUGUGUUCACUUAAGAUUUAGAUGUAGUUCAUGAUACCUGCUUUAGAGAUGCUUCAGAAGAAUCCUCCAGCAUGGCCUUGCAUCAGUGAGGACUUGGCUCCUCUGCACAUGUACAACUGCCUUUCAGCUGGAAGUUGAUGGAAAGUGCUGAAUUUGCUCAUUUUUUUUCAUUCCUCAAAGCAUCUUGGCAUACCAGAUGCAAUAAAGGCACUGUAUAGAUCAAAGUGUUUCAUCAUGGCACAAAGUUAAUUUGGCCAAGAUUUGAAGACUUAUCUUUUCAAAAUUAAAGGUUAAGAAAAUUGCUGUGAAUAGCUAAAAUCCUGUUACUGAAUAAUGACAAAAUUUUCUUUAAUGUACCAGGAAUUGAUUGGAUCUAAACCAAAAUGUCAUGAAAAUAAAUUAAAGUAAUUGUAAGUGUUUCACACCCUUUUAUGUAAAGGAUAAGGUCCUAAAAAUUGUAUUUUUAAAUCCAGAGCCUAUCUUCAAAAUGCCUGCAUUGUUGGGUAAUUAUAUCAUUGCAGUUUUAAGUCAUUAUUUUGCCUGUUGCCUGAGGAAUUUUACAGAAGAGCAGUAUUAAUAAGAUGCCAGGAGAACAAAUUCCAUAACUUAAUCUCUGUCAUAAAUUGAACUCGUAUAAACAAAGUGGCAUUUUCAUUCAUAAUUAAAUGACCUGCAGCAAAUGUAGGUCAGGAGUGAAGGGAUGUUUGAUUUUACAUUCUGUGGAAAAUCAGAACUUUUGCAUUUUGAGGAGAAGGGUGAGAAAAAAAUGCAAUCAGUGUCUUCUGGACAUAGAUUGAACAUACCACAACUUUGAGAAAAGGAGGUUCCUAAUUCAUCCACAUUGUAAAUCUCAGCUAAGUGCCAUUUAGACUUUACAGUUGGUGAUGACAAUUCCCUGAGCAUUCAGAUGAAAAGGCAUGGGGAUUGAUUGAGUUCACUCCUUCCUCAUUCUGCCAAUUCCAUGUACACAAAAAACAGCAGCCAAACCCAGCAGAUUGAAUUUAAAAUGCAAACUAUUUGGAGCUUUUUUUUUUCCUUAUCUGAAAUUGGACUACUUGAUUGUGAGCAAUCAUGUGGAUGAGAUGUUUCUAAUAAAAACUGAGUAUCUCCUAAAGUCAUAUGGCUCCAACCUCUGUGGCUCUAAACCUUUUGACUGAAUUUUUUGGGUUGGUUUUGUUCUAAAGUUUUUGAAGUCUUAAAAUUGUUUCCAGUCAUUGGCAUGAGACCUGGAAACACUCAAAUGAACCUACACCUUCUGAAUGUGAGUUUUGGAAGGGGUUUGUUACCCUGGCUUACAUCAGGAACCUCCUUUGCCUACUAGGAAAGGCUUUGGCCUCAGUAGCUUGAAGGGUUUCAAGGCUAAUCAAAUUUCUGUUUGCUUUAGACAAGCAUCCCCUUAUUUUUGCCUCAAAUCUUGAUUACAUGUGACCUUCAGAGAGCCUCAAAAUGUUAAUAAAUUCCUCUGAAAUUGCUUUUUGUUACAGUCCAAGGUAAAAUUGUACCCAUGAGAAAUGCUUAAUCUGUGACGAAAAUAAGGCAUUUGUAUACUUAAAUGAGCAGGGGAAGGCUUUGCUCUUCUGAAAAUUCAUGUGGCAAUGACCUGACAGAACUGUCUUAAGGGAAUUAAAUGCAACUUCAAAUUCUGA